rnacentral:rRNA from 1 species
AGAGUUUGAUCAUGGCUCAGGACGAACGCUGGCGGCGUGCCUGAAUACAUGCAAGUAGAACGCUGAAGACUGGUGCUUGCACUAGUCAGAUGAGUUGCGAACGGGUGAGUAACGCGUAGGUAACCUACCUCAUAGCGGGGGAUAACUAUUGGACAACGAUAGCUAAUACCGCAUGACAAUUAAGUACUCAUGUACUAAAUUUAAAAGGAGCAAUUGCUUCACUAUGAGAUGGACCUGCGUUGUAUUAGCUAGUUGGUGAGGUAACGGCUCACCAAGGCUACGAUACAUAGCCGACCUGAGAGGGUGAUCGGCCACACUGGGACUGAGACACGGCCCAGACUCCUACGGGAGGCAGCAGUAGGGAAUCUUCGGCAAUGGGGGCAACCCUGACCGAGCAACGCCGCGUGAGUGAAGAAGGUUUUCGGAUCGUAAAGCUCUGUUGUUAGAGAAGAACGGUAAUGGGAGUGGAAAAUCCAUUACGUGACGGUAACUAACCAGAAAGGGACGGCUAACUACGUGCCAGCAGCCGCGGUAAUACGUAGGUCUCGAGCGUUGUCCGGAUUUAUUGGGCGUAAAGCGAGCGCAGGCGGUUAUUUAAGUCUGAAGUUAAAGGCCGUGGCUCAACCAUGGUUCGCUUUGGAAACUGGAUAACUUGAGUGCAGAAGGGGAGAGUGGAAUUCCAUGUGUAGCGGUGAAAUGCGUAGAUAUAUGGAGGAACACCGGUGGCGAAAGCGGCUCUCUGGUCUGUAACUGACGCUGAGGCUCGAAAGCGUGGGGAGCAAACAGGAUUAGAUACCCUGGUAGUCCACGCCGUAAACGAUGAGUGCUAGGUGUUAGGCCCUUUCCGGGGCUUAGUGCCGCAGCU